GGACAAUGAAUAAUAAACAAAUGUAAAAUAUAUAUACACAAAAUAUUAUAUAUAGUGUAUGUAUAUUUAUAUGUAUACAUAUUAGGAUGCAUAAUAUACAUGAUUAUUAGAAUGUGAUUUAUGCUGUAGAAAAAAAUUUAUUUUUUUAUUUUUAAUUUUUAUUUUUUUGCUUUUUUAGGGUCACACCCAUGGCCUUUAGAAGUUCCCCUGAGGCUAGGGGUCUAAUCAGAGAUACAGCUGUCGGCCUACACCACAGCCACAGCAACACAGGAUCUGAGCCUCGUCUGUGACCUACUGCACAGCUCACGGCAAUGCCAGAUCCUUAACCCACUGAGCGAGACCAGGGAUCGAACCGGCAACUUCAUGGUUCCUAGUGGGAUUUGUUUCCACUGCUCCACAACUGGAACUCCAGAAAACAAAUUUUAAGGAGACGUGGUUGUGCACCCAUGAAACUGACCUUGUUUGGGAGUCAUGGACAUAUGCAUGAUAUUUAAAGCCAUGAGAUUGAAUGAGAUCAUCAAAGGAAUGAGAUCAUCAAAGGAUGGAGAAGAGGACCAGAUAGAAUACAUUUAUAUUUCAAAAAGCAAAGGAAAUUCUGCAAAGGACUCUUCUGCCACAUCCAGACCCGGCUUAUCCAGUCUAUCAUCUUCAGUGACGUCUCUGCCAGUUAUCCUGGAUCGUCAGAUAAAUUCUUCUCUGUGGACAUUUGAAGCACGAGGAGGAAUGCAUGAUUAACUUUUAGAGAUGAGCAGUCUAGAAUACACGAACUGUAGAUUAUUAUGUCUAAAAUAUCUUUUUCUGAAGAGCAGAGGCUGUGGUCAUCGGGAUGAACAAAACUGAGUAAGCAGAUGGGAGCUGCUUCAGGGAGUGUUGGGAGCUCAAGCUGUGUGAGAGGGGCUCAAAGCCCAGGGUGCUAGAUGGUGCCAGGUAAGCCCGGUGCCUGCCGUCCUCAAAGAGGCUGUCGGGAUUCAGUUCACCUUGCCGCUCAUCCCUGUUUCACUAAUCCACACCU
rnacentral:lncRNA from 1 species